rnacentral:lncRNA from 10 species
AGCCUGGCAACAGAGUGAGACUCUGUCUCAGGAAAAAAAUAAAAAUUAAGAAGGUAGAUCCCAUUGUUACAAUAAGAACAAAAAUGAGGCACAUGGAAACUUUUGGAGGCGAUGGAUAUGUCUGUUACCUUGGUUGUGGUGAUUGUUUCAUAAGUGUUUCUAUAUGUCCAUCUUCAGCAAGUUUGGUGUGCCGUUUCUGUGCAUCAAUUAUACUUCAAUAAAGCAGUUUUUUUAAAAAAAAAAAAAGGAUGAAAGAAGGGAAGAGGGGAGGGAAGGUGGUUACUGUUAGUUCCCAGGGAGAAUACGAGAGAAAGUUAGGGUAGAAAAAGUGUAAACUGAACCACUAGAAUAAGUUUCUGUAAGGUAGAGACAAAAGAAGAACCAUCUUGUGUGAGGCAGGGGACACAGAGACUCAGAUAUCUUUGUGUCUAAAGACAGACAGAGGUGUGAAUCACCUCCUUAAUUUGAAGGGGCACCUAAGUUGAUGAUUAACUUAGCUCUCUUUAUGCUAUUCUGGUAGAUCUUCCCAGCCUCCUUUCUCGGAAAGAGACCUCCAGUGAGAAUGGGGUAAGCAAGCCCUUUAGUGAGAAUUAGAAAGAAAGAGGAAGUGUGGUGAGUUUACUUUUUGGAAUAAAAGCACAAAGCAGAAAACCAAUGGGACACCCAGUUACUUUGUCAACAGUAUGCCAAACACUAAUUUUGGAAGAUCCUGUUAAACUUGGUAUAGUCCCUGAGUAUUAUUUUUAUUCUCCAUUGUCUGUUUCCCAGUUGUGAUCAUAUAAUAGUAAAACUCACCUAAUGAAAGCACCUGCUUCCUUGUGUUUACAAGAAACAAGGCAAGGGUACAAAAAAAAAAAAAAAGAAUGAUUAAGACCUACUAUUUGAUAGCACAAUAGGGUGACUAUAGUCAAUAAUAACUUAAUUUUGCAUGUUAAAAUAACUUAAAAGUGUAAUUGGAUUGUUUAUAACUCAAAGGAUAAAUGUUGAGGGGACAGAUACCCCAUUCCCCAUAAUGUGCUUACUUCACAUUGCAUGCCUAUAUUAAAACAUCUCAUGUAACCCAUAAAUAUAUGCACCUACUAUGUACCCACAAAAAUCUUUAUUUAAAAAAAAAUUAAAAAAGUCAAGCCCAAGUAAACCAAAUGAUGGUAUGGCAGUUUUAGAGGAGAGAGGAAAACAAAUUUAGUCCUGCAAGCCCUGCUUAUGCUGUAAAAAAGAAAAAAAAAAAAAAAAGAAGAAGAAACAUACUAGGAGUUGGCUGAGUCUUAGACAUGUACUUGAGGCCUAAGAGAAGAGAUCUGUUCUGUGUGCACACAAUUGACCUUUGUCACCAAAAAGGAAAUAAUGUUUCAGUCAUUCAUGGAGGUAAAAGAGUGGACAAAUUGUGUUGAGGUGGACAAUUGCAUCAUAAAAAUGCAUUUAUUAUUCUUCAUUACCUAAUACACUGUAAGUUCUUCAAGGGCAGAGAUUGAGUCUCCACUUUUUUCUUCCUAUGGCCCACCUUGGUAGCUGACACAAAUUAAUUACUCAUAAAUGUUGAUACAAAAUAAAUGAGUGAUUUAAUUAAUUACUUAAAAUCCUUUAUAAGUCUCAGGCUUACAGUUUUAGAAAAAUAACAAACACAGAAUUCUUAUUAGGCACUAGAAAAAUAUGUGUCAUGGAGGAAUUGAUAUUUGAUCUGAGUCUUGAUCAACAUAAUGUGGAAAACGGGGAAAGAGAUCUUUGAGGCAGAGAUAUUAGAAUUUGCAUGAUGAAGAGUCAUUUGGGGUGGCUUACAUGUAUGGGAGGAGACAUAAGACACAAGGUAUGUUAAGGCCCGACUAUGAAUAAUCUUAAGUGUGAUGUGAGAAAAUUUGGAUUUUAAUCAAUGGAUCAUGGGAAACCAUAGAAUGUUUAUAAGAAUGCAAGUGUGACUUGUGAUCUGAUUUGUCUUCUGGAAGGUUAGGUCUGGUACUAGUUUGUAUGAAGGACCAAAUGGGGACUAGAAAAGAAUCAAGUUAUGAAGCUAUUGCAAUGGUUCAGGAAAGCAAUAAAAUAAAAUAUGGACAAAGAUAAAUAAGGCACAAAUGUAUAAUAUAUUUAAACAUGUAAUUCCAAAGACUUCUGAUGGAUAUGAGUUGGAGGAUAUAAGAGAGAGAAGACUCAUGGAUGAAUCCAAGGUUUCUAGCUAGGGAAGUUGUAAAGCUCUCUUUAUUAAUAAAAUCAAAAAGAGAUGGAAGAUUCGGCAGGAAAGGCCAGAUAUCAGUAUGGGACUUUCUGAGUUUGAAGUGCCUGCAGAUAUUUUUAUGAAGAUGUUCAUAAAACAUCUAGGAAAUUAGAUAUUGAUAUCUGCAACUCUGGGAAAGACUUGUGAUUUGAGGCAUGGAUUUCAGAUUUAUCAACGAAGAAUUAGAAGAUGAGCCCAGGAUAAGUAGCUCAUCCUGUAAAAGUAGGUAGAACUGGAGGGGGAAAAGGCUGAAAUUGAAAUCCAGAAAAGUCGACAUUCAAGUAGCAAGAGUUGAGGAGGAAACAGAGAAUAUUCAGGUAGUCAGGAAGAGAGACAGGAGAGAGCUUCUCAUAGAACUCAAAGGAAGUCAAAUUUCAAUGAAUGAUUGAACCAGAUAACAAAUAAGAUGACUGAAAAAAAUUACCACUUGACUGGAUAAUUUGGAAAAAUCUGAUGACCUUAUUGCAGCAUAUUGAAUUGGGAAACCAGAGUACAAAAGCUGGAAGAAAAAAAAAACUGUAAAGGGAAAAUGGUACAUCACUGGCAGUUAGCAGUGAAGGAAAGAGCACGAUAGAGCUUACGGCUUGAAAAAGUGCCAGAAUCAAGAAAAUGCUCUGUCUCUGGGAAGUUCUGCUUUCUGUUCCCUGAUCAGGGACCAGAGAGGGGCAAAAUCUUCCUUUGAUCCUAACUCCCUAUUUUUUAUUUUUCCUCUCUCUUGAUCCCCUUGUCUACUUUUCAGAUUUAGCCUCACCUUGUAAGUGCUUCCUUUCUGAGGUGUAGGUAAGAAAGAUUGAGAUUCCAUCCGCACGAGACAAACCCAGCAGUUCGGAGCAGUCAAGACAGGUUGGAGGAACAAAGGAAGGAGGUCAUGUUACCAGUUUCUAAGGCUUGGGGUCAUCUGGAAGAAGCUGGAAUCACAGUACAGGUGGAAUGGAAGUGCAAUGGAAGAAGUGGAACCACAGUGAAGGUGGGAACUGGAGGCAUGAAGAAAACACAGGUAGUGCUGGAGGCACCAUUAAUAACUAUGGAUAGCAUUUUCUCCUUACAAAUGUAUGGGGUAAUCAAUACACAUACCAAACAACAGGAAAAAAAAUCUGUUUUAAUUAUAAAAAGUUUUAGGGAGCACUAAAUGAACUUUUAAAUUAUCGUAUAUCAUAUAUUCAUUUCUUCAGGAAGUAGUUCAUAAGAAUCUGCCAUGUGCCUAUACACCAUGGAAUACUACGCAGCCAUAAAAAAGGAUGAGUUCUUGUCCUUUGUAGGCACAUGGAUGAAGCUUGAAACCAUCAUUCUGAGCAAACUUAUCACAAGGACAGAAAACCAAACACUGCAUGUUCUCACUCACAGGUGGGAAUUGAACAAUGAGAAAACUUAGACACAGGAAGGGGGAC